GCUCACUUGGGCAGUGCAUUUAUUAAAAUUGAAAUGAUACAGAGAAGAUUAGCAUGGCCCCUGUGUAAGGAUGACACACAACUUUGUGAAUUGUUCCAUAUUUUU
rfam:Otolemur garnettii contig131651, whole genome shotgun sequence.